UCGAGCGGUAAGGCUCCUUCGGGAGUACACGAGCGGCGAACGGGUGAGUAACACGUGAGCAAUCUGCCCUCCACAUCGGGAUAACCCCCGGAAACGGGAGCUAAUACCGGAUACGACCACUUCAGGCAUCUGAUGGUGGUGGAAAGUUCCGGCGGUGGAGGAUGAGCUCGCGGCCUAUCAGCUUGUUGGUGAGGUAAUGGCCCACCAAGGCUUCGACGGGUAGCCGGCCUGAGAGGGUGACCGGCCACACUGGGACUGAGACACGGCCCAGACUCCUACGGGAGGCAGCAGUGGGGAAUAUUGGACAAUGGGCGAAAGCCUGAUCCAGCAACGCCGCGUGAGGGAUGACGGCCUUCGGGUUGUAAACCUCUUUCAGCGCAGACGAAGCGAAAGUGACGGUAUGCGCAGAAGAAGCACCGGCCAACUACGUGCCAGCAGCCGCG
rnacentral:rRNA from 1 species